ACACCGUUGGUGAAGUGGUUAUCAUGCUUGCCUUCCAACGUUAUGAUAAGCAAGCGGCUUUGGUUCGAUUCCCGAACGGUGUA
rnacentral:tRNA from 1 species